AGAACGAACGCUGGCGGCGUGGAUAAGACAUGCAAGUCGAACGGGGCCUGGCUGAGAUUACAUCAAGGCCUGGUUCAGUGGCGGACGGGUGCGUAACACGUGAGUAAUUUGCCGGGAGGAGGGGGAUAGCCCGUGGAAAUGCGGAUUAAUACCCUGUGUGAUUCUGAUUGGCAUCAAUCGGAAAUUAAAGGUGCUGUAAAAGGUGCCGCCUCCUGAUGAACUCGCGGCCUAUCAGCUUGUUGGCGGGGUAACGGCCCACCAAGGCGAUGACGGGUAGCCGGUCUGAGAGGAUGACCGGCCACACUGGAACUGAGACACGGUCCAGACACCUGCGGGUGGCAGCAGUCGAGAAUCAUUCACAAUGGGCGAAAGCCUGAUGGUGUGACGCCGCGUGGAGGAUGACGGUCUUCGGAUUGUAAAGCUCGUGUGGGGAGAGACGAAUAAGCAUUGGCUAAUACCCAAUGCGAUGACGGUAUCUCCUUAG
rnacentral:rRNA from 1 species